CUGGCGGCGUGCCUAAUCAUGCAUCCUAGCGGACAGAAAAGGUAGCUUGCUCCCUUUGUUAGCGGCGGACGGGUGAGUAACACGUGGGUAACCUGCCUGUAAGACUGGGAUAACUCCCGGAAACCGGAGCUAAUACCGGAUAGUUCCUUGAACCGCAUGGUUCAAGGAUGAAAGACGGUUUCGGCUGUCACUUACAGAUGGACCCGCGGCGCAUUAGCUAGUUGGUGGGGUAAUGGCUCACCAAGGCGACGAUGCGUAGCCGACCUGAGAGGGUGAUCGGCCACACUGGGACUGAGACACGGCCCAGACUCCUACGGGAGGCAGCAGUAGGGAAUCUUCCGCAAUGGACGAAAGUCUGACGGAGCAACGCCGCGUGAGUGAUGAAGGUUUUCGGAUCGUAAAGCUCUGUUGUUAGGGAAGAACAAGUGCGAGAGUAACUGCUCGCACCUUGACGGUACCUAACCAGAAAGCCACGGCUAACUACGUGCCAGCAGCCGCGGUAAUACGUAGGUGGCAAGCGUUGUCCGGAAUUAUUGGGCGUAAAGGGCUCGCAGGCGGUUUCUUAAGUCUGAUGUGAAAGCCCCCGGCUCAACCGGGGAGGGUCAUUGGAAACUGGGAAACUUGAGUGCAGAAAAGAGAGUGGAAUUCCACGUGUAGCGGUGAAAUGCGUAAAGAUGUGGAGGAACACCAGUGGCGAAGGCGACUCUCUGGUCUGUAACUGACCCUGAGGA
rnacentral:rRNA from 1 species